UAGAGAGAGAGAGAGAGAGAGAGAGAGAGAGAGAGAUAGAGCUCGUGUGGAUUCAGAUAAACCAACUGCUUCAGAGGAAGAGAGAGAGAGAGAGAGAGAGUGAGAGACGCGUGGAGCAAGCAACAGAGCGAGGCGUCUCUAGAUCAUGGUGACAUUGGGAGAUGGCUCAUACGGGGAACGAGAAGAAGAACAGAGAGUUCUAGAGAGAGAAAGCGUGGUGUUGUGGAGAGAGAGAGAGAGAGAGAGAGAGAGAGAGAGAGAGAGAGUGAUGGACAGAGAGAUAUGGAAAGAAAGGGAUGGUAACAGCUCAACACGUCUUCGAUUUGGAUUCCGAAAUUGAAUUACAAAAGAGAUGGGGAAAAAAAAAAAAACCUUUCUCCCAACAUCAAACAGAAAUUUCUCCGAAGGAAACACGUUGUCUCAGU